rnacentral:misc_RNA from 1 species
GGAAUGAUAUAAAAAGCCGCUGAAAGCAAUUAUCAUCAGGGCUUGCAUAAACUGAUGCUAUACUCCCUGGAUUGGUCCUUUUAACUUGUUCACAGUACUGAGGAAGAAGGCGAUAACCUUCUUCAAAGGAACCGCGCAUAGCAGCCAUAAUUCGUUCCUUUCCACGCCAAGCUUGCUUGUACGAGAGGGUGAUUCCAUGAACCCGGUGAAUUUCUUCAAGGAUCUCUUUUGGCUUGCAAUUUGGGUUUUCCCUAAGCCGUUGCUCCACAGAGUUGGCC